rnacentral:rRNA from 1 species
GAUGAACGCUGGCGGCGUGCCUAAUACAUGCAAGUCGAGCGAACAGACGAGGAGCUUGCUCCUCUGACAUUAGCGGCGGACGGGUGAGUAACACGUGGAUAACCUACCUAUAAGACUGGGAUAACUUCGGGAAACCGGAGCUAAUACCGGAUAAUAUAUUGAACCGCAUGGUUCAAUAGUGAAAGACGGUUUUGCUGUCACUUAUAGAUGGAUCCGCGCCGCAUUAGCUAGAUGGUAAGGUAACGGCUUACCAAGGCAACGAUGCGUAGCCGACCUGAGAGGGUGAUCGGCCACACUGGAACUGAGACACGGUCCAGACUCCUACGGGAGGCAGCAGUAGGGAAUCUUCCGCAAUGGGCGAAAGCCUGACGGAGCAACGCCGCGUGAGUGAUGAAGGUCUUCGGAUCGUAAAACUCUGUUAUUAGGGAAGAACAAAUGUGUAAGUAACUAUGCACGUCUUGACGGUACCUAAUCAGAAAGCCACGGCUAACUACGUG